CGUGUGAGUGUGUAUUUAUGGGAACAAAACAGGCAGGUAUUCACAGGUCUCGGUUUUCUUUCGCUUCCUUCCUUAUUGUUGCAGAUUCCCUUAGUGCAAGAGGAACUUCAAAUUCCUGUAGGACCUUUAACACAAACAGUCACAGACACCUGGACGAUCCUACUACAAAGAAUAAAAACUCCCUCCUCUGUGAUGUCAACCCCUGUCCCUUCUCCUCAACCAAGAGGCAUCGACUACAGCCUUCCCACCUGUGGAGAGACUAAGUGCAAUAGCCACGGGGUCUGCGUGGCACCUCCUGGUGGUGGCACUGAUUUGGUGUGUGACUGUGUCCUUGGCUACCGGGGACAACACUGUGAGGACACUGUCAACGGGGCCCUAAGCCUGCCACUGACCCUGAGUGUGUUGGCCGUCAUCUUCGGCCUGCUGAUUAUGGCUUUCAUCUUUGCCAAAUUGAGGCAGAAACAAAAGAAGAGCCAGAGGAGACAGCAAACUGAAAAAAAUGGCUGCAAUAUUGCGGUGUAAUGAGGAUAAAUCUCCAUUAUAUCAGAGGUCAACCAUGACACUGUGACCAGUGGCAAUAUUGUGCUUCCGUCAGCAUCCUUCUGCAGCAGCCUUACAAUUACACAUUUUCUUUAAUUUGUGCGUGUGUGUGUAUUUUAAAGUAUAUCUCCAAACACGUGACUCAUUAAAAGCAAAUAUUAUGCAAGGAGAUCACAGAUGAGAUCGAGACAAGUAAGGGAUGUUUACAGGCAUGAGUGUAACACUGGCCUUUCAUUGAGCCGUGUUUGAAGCAUUGAGGUUUUACGUGAAGAACACAGCAGGAAGCUGUUGACUUGUUUCAAGCUGUUGACAUAAUGCAUUAUUGCUGUUCAGCAACUCUACAUCAGCAUCCAUUUAGGUAGAAAGUUUAUGAAAUAUGUAUUUUUCAUAGAAAAUAUAAAAUAAUUGAAAAACAUCAGUUUGAGAAAGAAAUUUUGUCACUAACAUAAUUUACAUGUAGCACAAUCAAAACCCUGUGGAUAAUGUGCACUAUCAUUAUCCAUGAACAGCCACACAUUCUGAACAUGAUGUAAUCCAACUCCAAUUCACAGAUGUUUUCUGUUUGUUUGCUUUUAGAUUGAUUGUUUUAUUUAUAGAAUUAUAUAGAAAAAUAUUGUGGCUGAAAGAAAAUUAACACCAUUGCUUUUUAAAGCUGGUGCAACCACUUUUAUGUUGUGGGCAUUUUGACUGUCCGCACAUUGACUGACUUUUUAAUAGUAAUUACUGUCUUUGGUGGACCAGUGGCUUCCUUUAAAUACAUAGAAAGCCGAGCUGACUGUUAUAGUGAUAGUGAAAAACUGUGAGUGCUGUGAUUAUAUGCGUAACACUGAGGGAGCAAGAGGAAGAACUUCAGGUUUUUCCUCAUAGUAAUCCAUGUCAUACAGGGUAAACCAGGAACCAGACUUGAUUGGUUAUGAAGAAAUGCAUGCUUUUAAUCAGUUGUGGUCACUGAGAUUUUUGUACUUUGUGUACUGCAUUAUCAUACCAUCACUUUUGCAUUUUUUGCUUUCAGCCUCUUGCGAGAUGCCUGUUGCGUUUAUUUGUUUCGGAAGACUCAGGUUUGCUCCCAGCUGAAAAAAAAAAAAGGAAAAAGGGGUCUUCAGUUUGUUGAGUAACCUGCAAACUGAGAUUUGAGAUCUGUUUCCCUGAGCAUUGAGAAUAAGCAAGGUCAGAAGCUUUGCAAAGUCAGUUGUGUCUGCAGAUUUCCUCUCACUUUAUCUCAGUGUCCACUUUGUUUCAUGCUUGCUGUGUCUAUGUGCUUUCACAGUAAAUCAUGUGCUGCCUAAUUGUCAACUUGCAGACUGCCGUCUUAGUGGUCCUCCUACAUGAUGUGCUCUUACUGAUGAAUCAAGUCUUAGGAGCAUUGCCAGUGUUAAGUGCUUUUUUUGUGCUCUUUUUUAAAUGUCUGUUUCUUUAGUACAUUGACUGAAUAACUACGCUUUAUAUGUUUUGUUGUAAUUCAUGAUUCUCAAAAGCAUUAGCAAGAUGCAUAAAAGUUUCUAUAAUCUCAUCUUCCUCUCUGUUUUUGUCUUUCCACAGUAAUUCAUUUAUCAUGUGUUGAAUCACUGAGUGUGUCGGGGUUAAUGAGUUUUGGAAAUAUACAGCUGUUUUUUUUUUAGAUAGUGAGAAAAGUAUUGCUCACCGUCAAGAGAGCUCUUCAAGGCCUGUUCUGCAUUUGCAAAGCAAGUUUGGUUAUAAAGGUAAUACUUAAAAAGAAAAGAAAUAAUAAAGUACAUAGCAGUGGUUGCUAGUAAAUAGCAUGCAGCAGCAAUCUUAUUAACAAAGGUGACUAAAUAAACACUACAAGCUAUCAGGCUGACAGUUACAUCAGCCUGGCUUACAGCUUAAACAAUACCGUGCCAAACAUGGAUGACAGAAAAGGAAUUUAAAAAUGAAGCAAAACAGGAUCUGGAAAGGCGUGCACAUAUAUUUUAGUUUUGGGUGCUUGAAAUAGCUCGUUCUGAGGGGAUAAAAAAGACUUACACAUUUUUCUCUCAAGACUAGUGAUGGUCAUUAGUGGGAAAAAUAAAAAACCUUUACUGGAAUUAAAAAACACUGUUUAAAAUGAGAAAUGCCUUUACUUCACCUUUUAUAUUAUAAGACAACAACUUUACUGCACUUACGCUUUUUUGUUUUCACCAGCUUUCAAAUAAAAAGUACAGACAC